GGGGGUUUAGCUCAAGUUGGUAGAGCGA
rnacentral:tRNA from 1 species